rnacentral:rRNA from 1 species
AUAGUCCCGUACACGAAAGGUGAAUCAGAGGAGCAACAAAGAGUAGGACGAGGCACGUGAAACCUUGUUUGAACAUGGGGGGACCAUCCUCCAAGGCUAAAUACUCGUUGUCGACCGAUAGUGAACCAGUACCGUGAGGGAAAGGCGAAAAGAACCCCGGAGAGGGGAGUGAAAUAGAACCUGAAACCGGAUGCGUACAAGCAGUCAGAGCAGACUUGUUCUGUGAUGGCGUACCUUUUGUAUAAUGGGUCAGCGACUUAUAUUUAGUAGCAAGGUUAAGUGAAUAACGGAGCCGUAGCCAAAGCGAG